GGGGCUUUCAUAGAAACUACGGAGAAUUUGGGAUUUAUCUACAUUGCUUCGAGACAUUAUGCACAUAAUAUCAAGUGCAUAAUUAAUGGAAACGGAAGACAUUGGAAGAUCUUGUUUUAGCUGCAGAGGGUGGAGUAUCUGUAAAUAUAGACAGUGAAUGUGAUUUGGAAAAUAUUACUACUGAUGCUGAGUUGCAGGAAAGAAAGUGCCUGUUUUGCUCACAAAAUAUUACCACAGUAUGGCGGAGCCUUGCAGGGUGAGGGAGUAGACAAUGGUGAAGAUCAGAGGGCGUGAGCUCACGGUGGUCGCCCAGAUUUCAACAGCUUUGACAUAUAGAGAAGG